rnacentral:rRNA from 1 species
GAUGAACGCUGGCGGCGUGCCUAACACAUGCAAGUCGAGCGAACGGACGAGAAGCUUGCUUCUCUGAUGUUAGCGGCGGACGGGUGAGUAACACGUGGAUAACCUACCUAUAUGACUGGGGUAACUUCGGGAAACCGGAGCUAACACCGGAUAAUAUUCUGAACCGCAUGGUUCAAAAGUGAAAGACGGUCUUGCUGUCACUUAUAGAUGGAUCCGCGCUGCAUUAGCUAGUUGGUAAGGUAACGGCUUACCAAGGCAACGAUGCAUAGCCGACCUGAGAGGGGGAUCGGCCACACUAGAACUGAAACACGGUCCAUACUCCUACGGGAGGCAGCAGUAGGGAAUCUGACGCAGUGGGCGAAAGCCUGGCGGAGCAGCGCCGCGUGAGUGGUGGAGGUCUUGGGAUCGUAAAGCUCUGUUAUUGGGGAAGAACAUAUGUGUAAGGAACUGUGCACAUCUUGACGGUACCGGAUCAGAAAGCCACGGCUAACUACGUG